AAUCUUCCACAAUGGGCGGAAGUCUGAUGUAGCAACGCCUCUUGAGCUAAUAUGGUUUUCUGAUCGUAAAGCUCUGUUGUAAGGGAAGAACACAUACUUGAGUCACUGCCCGUACCUUGACGGUACCUCUUCAGAAACCCACGGAUAACUACGUGCCAGCAGCCGCGGUAAUACGUAGGUGGCAAGCGUUCGCCGGAAUUAUUGGGCGUAAAGCGCGCGCAGGAGGUCAUGUAAGUCUGAUGGGAAAGCCCACGGCUCAACCGUGGAGGGUUAUUGGAAACUGGAGGACUUGAGUACAGAAGAGGAAAGCGGAAUUCCACGUGUAGCGGUGAAAUGCGAAGAGAUGUGGAGGAACACCAGUGGCGAAGGCGGCUUUCUGGUCUGUAACUGACGCUGAGGCGCGAAAGCGUGGGGAGCAAAC
rnacentral:rRNA from 1 species